rnacentral:rRNA from 1 species
GGGUUGUGAGGUUAAGCGACUAAGCGUACACGGUGGAUGCCCUGGCAGUCAGAGGCGAUGAAGGACGUGCUAAUCUGCGAUAAGCGUCGGUAAGGUGAUAUGAACCGUUAUAACCGGCGAUUUCCGAAUGGGGAAACCCAGUGUGAUUCGUCACACUAUCAUUAACUGAAUCCAUAGGUUAAUGAGGCGAACCGGGGGAACUGAAACAUCUAAGUACCCCGAGGAAAAGAAAUCAACCGAGAUUCCCCCAGUAGCGGCGAGCGAACGGGGAGCAGCCCAGAGCCUGAAUCAGUGUGUGUGUUAGUGGAAGCGUCUGGAAAGGCGCGCGAUACAGGGUGACAGCCCCGUACACAAAAAUGCACAUACUGUGAGCUCGAUGAGUAGGGCGGGACACGUGGUAUCCUGUCUGAAUAUGGGGGGACCAUCCUCCAAGGCUAAAUACUCCUGACUGACCGAUAGUGAACCAGUACCGUGAGGGAAAGGCGAAAAGAACCCCGGCGAGGGGAGUGAAAAAGAACCUGAAACCGUGUACGUACAAGCAGUGGGAGCACGCUUAGGCGUGUGACUGCGUACCUUUUGUAUAAUGGGUCAGCGACUUAUAUUCUGUAGCAAGGUUAACCGAAUAGGGGAGCCGAAGGGAAACCGAGUCUUAACUGGGCGUUAAGUUGCAGGGUAUAGACCCGAAACCCGGUGAUCUAGCCAUGGGCAGGUUGAAGGUUGGGUAACACUAACUGGAGGACCGAACCGACUAAUGUUGAAAAAUUAGCGGAUGACUUGUGGCUGGGGGUGAAAGGCCAAUCAAACCGGGAGAUAGCUGGUUCUCCCCGAAAGCUAUUUAGGUAGCGCCUCGUGAAUUCAUCUCCGGGGGUAGAGCACUGUUUCGGCAAGGGGGUCAUCCCGACUUACCAACCCGAUGCAAACUGCGAAUACCGGAGAAUGUUAUCACGGGAGACACACGGCGGGUGCUAACGUCCGUCGUGAAGAGGGAAACAACCCAGACCGCCAGCUAAGGUCCCAAAGUCAUGGUUAAGUGGGAAACGAUGUGGGAAGGCCCAGACAGCCAGGAUGUUGGCUUAGAAGCAGCCAUCAUUUAAAGAAAGCGUAAUAGCUCACUGGUCGAGUCGGCCUGCGCGGAAGAUGUAACGGGGCUAAACCAUGCACCGAAGCUGCGGCAGCGACGCUGAUGCGUUGUUGGGUAGGGGAGCGUUCUGUAAGCCUGUGAAGGUGUGCUGUGAGGCAUGCUGGAGGUAUCAGAAGUGCGAAUGCUGACAUAAGUAACGAUAAAGCGGGUGAAAAGCCCGCUCGCCGGAAGACCAAGGGUUCCUGUCCAACGUUAAUCGGGGCAGGGUGAGUCGACCCCUAAGGCGAGGCCGAAAGGCGUAGUCGAUGGGAAACAGGUUAAUAUUCCUGUACUUGGUGUUACUGCGAAGGGGGGACGGAGAAGGCUAUGUUGGCCGGGCGACGGUUGUCCCGGUUUAAGCGUGUAGGCUGGUUUUCCAGGCAAAUCCGGAAAAUCAAGGCUGAGGCGUGAUGACGAGGCACUACGGUGCUGAAGCAACAAAUGCCCUGCUUCCAGGAAAAGCCUCUAAGCAUCAGGUAACAUCAAAUCGUACCCCAAACCGACACAGGUGGUCAGGUAGAGAAUACCAAGGCGCUUGAGAGAACUCGGGUGAAGGAACUAGGCAAAAUGGUGCCGUAACUUCGGGAGAAGGCACGCUGAUAUGUAGGUGAAGUCCCUUGCGGAUGGAGCUGAAAUCAGUCGAAGAUACCAGCUGGCUGCAACUGUUUAUUAAAAACACAGCACUGUGCAAACACGAAAGUGGACGUAUACGGUGUGACGCCUGCCCGGUGCCGGAAGGUUAAUUGAUGGGGUCAGCGCAAGCGAAGCUCUUGAUCGAAGCCCCGGUAAACGGCGGCCGUAACUAUAACGGUCCUAAGGUAGCGAAAUUCCUUGUCGGGUAAGUUCCGACCUGCACGAAUGGCGUAAUGAUGGCCAGGCUGUCUCCACCCGAGACUCAGUGAAAUUGAACUCGCUGUGAAGAUGCAGUGUACCCGCGGCAAGACGGAAAGACCCCGUGAACCUUUACUAUAGCUUGACACUGAACAUUGAGCCUUGAUGUGUAGGAUAGGUGGGAGGCUUUGAAGUGUGGACGCCAGUCUGCAUGGAGCCGACCUUGAAAUACCACCCUUUAAUGUUUGAUGUUCUAACGUUGACCCGUAAUCCGGGUUGCGGACAGUGUCUGGUGGGUAGUUUGACUGGGGCGGUCUCCUCCUAAAGAGUAACGGAGGAGCACGAAGGUUGGCUAAUCCUGGUCGGACAUCAGGAGGUUAGUGCAAUGGCAUAAGCCAGCUUGACUGCGAGCGUGACGGCGCGAGCAGGUGCGAAAGCAGGUCAUAGUGAUCCGGUGGUUCUGAAUGGAAGGGCCAUCGCUCAACGGAUAAAAGGUACUCCGGGGAUAACAGGCUGAUACCGCCCAAGAGUUCAUAUCGACGGCGGUGUUUGGCACCUCGAUGUCGGCUCAUCACAUCCUGGGGCUGAAGUAGGUCCCAAGGGUAUGGCUGUUCGCCAUUUAAAGUGGUACGCGAGCUGGGUUUAGAACGUCGUGAGACAGUUCGGUCCCUAUCUGCCGUGGGCGCUGGAGAACUGAGGGGGGCUGCUCCUAGUACGAGAGGACCGGAGUGGACGCAUCACUGGUGUUCGGGUUGUCAUGCCAAUGGCACUGCCCGGUAGCUAAAUGCGGAAGAGAUAAGUGCUGAAAGCAUCUAAGCACGAAACUUGCCCCGAGAUGAGUUCUCCCUGACUCCUUGAGAGUCCUGAAGGAACGUUGAAGACGACGACGUUGAUAGGCCGGGUGUGUAAGCGCAGCGAUGCGUUGAGCUAACCGGUACUAAUGAACCGUGAGGCUUAACCUUACAACGCCGAAGCUGUU